UGCUCAUUGUGUGAAUAUUAUUAGAAUGAAUAUAAUAAAGAGUCUGGUGUAGAGCUGCUCUAUAUGAGAAGAGCCCUGAGAUGCGCGAUGAUUCAGCUCUACAUUAAUGAAACUGACCUGACGCCUUUGUAAAAAGUGGAUAUUUGUGCUGAGAAUGUUGACCAUUUUAAAAAUGUAAUUUAGUGUCAGAGGCAGAGCCAGUAGUGAUGAGGGGAUUACUGCUGUCAGUAUGAAGGAACAGGUGAGCUGUUGGAACAGAGUGAACAAGCAAGCAUUAGUUCCAAUACUUUCUAUGCCCAAACGAUAGCAGUGACCCAUUUUAUUUUUAAUCAUGAAAAGAUAGUAAAUACACAAAGCCCACGAUUGAAAGGGAAUAGGAUGAGAUAAAAACAUUUACUUUCAUUACUGAUGUUGUCCAGUUUUAAUGAAGUUCAUGCUACUUAUAAAAUGAUGAAAGUGAAUAAAAUGUAUUUGUGGGAUCUGUGUUUGAUUUCUGUCUUUUCUCCUGUCAUCCAGAUGUUCAGAGGGAGCUGAUGCCACAUUUGGUCCAGCCGCUGGAAGUUCUCUGACUGAAGAUGGUCCUCUCACAGGAUUUAAGGUUCAGACGCUCAGGAAAAAACUCCACCAACUUCCAACAGGGAUGCUUUAGGUUUAUUAAAUGUUGCUAUGAAGCAUGAAGAUUAAACUCUCCACAAGGAUCCAAAAUAAGUUGGACUUCUACAUGAGAGCUUUAAUUAUUCUUCAUCUACUUCCUGAAAAGUUUGGUCAAUAAAAAAGACAAAAACUAAUAUUUUCAGAUGAACUAAAGACAGACUUUGUGAUAUUUCUGCUCACAGGUUGUGUUGUUGUAAACUUACUCUUUCAAAUAAAUAGCCGCCUAACCCCCUGGAAACCAGUGUUUGUUUUGUUUUUGUGUUGCUCCUCGGCGACCCUAGACAGCCGGGUUUUAAUGUUUUUUGAGCAACACACCAUACUAUGACGUUUUUUACAGUGAAGGCUCUACUAUGAAACCAGUUUGACAUGUUCAGGUGUUCUUUGUGUGAAAACUCAAGAGAUUUCAGGUAUCAGAAGGUGGUUUUCAACUUUCUUUGUGUGGCAGGACGGCCCAGUCCGUCUCCACUCAUGUCGUAUAUUGGAUCAGGUGGUAUAGUUUUCAGUUGCUCCCAGUCAUUGAAUGCAGCUGGGAGCAAUCAUCCAAUCGCAUCUUGAUUACUGGGCGGUGCUAUAGUGCGUUAUAUGUGUGAGAGGGCUGUGCAUUUUCCACAUGCGUCCUCUACCUGGAGCUGGGGUGUUUACUCAGCCGUGCGGUUUGCCGUGGCAGUCUCAAGAUGCUGGCGGAGUAUUUUUCUACCGACCUGUCAGGUAUGUUCCAACACAGUCACUGCGUCUCCCAGCAAUGUUUGUGCUGUGUCUGAUCUGCUUGUUGCUUUCAGUAGAAUUCGGCUGGUCCCUUGGCCGAACCCUACUGAGGCUGGGAGCUGGGUGUGUGUGGCCUUGGAGCUGGGCGUAACCUAUGCAUCGCGUUGGAUUUUUGAGUGAUCAUGUGGGUUCUCUGCGGCUGUUUCCCCCCGAUGCCUGAGGAGCUGCAGUUUUGACGAGCCGCUCUACGUCUGAAGCAAGCUGCUGCUGUUCUGUCUCCGUGUUCAUUGCAGCAAGUCCUCUGCUCUUUGGGAAUUGCUGCAUUGGUCUUUUUAUGGUGUUUUAAGGACAAUCCUGGUGUGCGUGUGCCCAUCGCCUGGCACGCCCAUUGUUUAAAAAUUAUUAGCAUUAGAAUUACUUUUUACUGAGUUUGUAAUCUGUUUAGUUUCUAUUUUUGUGAUUGUUUAGUUUUGCAAUUUUGUUGGGUUCUGUGUGAUUGUUUCUUUUGCUGUUUUGAUUUGUUUAGGUGAGCAGGUGGCCUGAUUGGCUUUGGUGGUGACCUCCAGAGUUUAGUAUCCUAUAAAGACCCCUUGCAGACCUGGUGCAGGAGCUCCUCCACUUGAAUUUAAUGGGUGAGCCAGUGUCUGACGACUGGGGUGUCGGAGUUCCCUGAACAAGAACAGAAAGCACUUAGGAAAUUGCAUGUCUCGGCUUUGGCCGCAUCAAUGGGUUCGCUUUGAGAAGGCGAUGGCGGCUGUUUGGGGCUACAGUCACCACCUGCUGCCUGCCGGACACGGCCUCUUGCUGUUUGGCUGCAGCAGAUGGUGUGCUGUCCUGUUGCUGCUGGCCUGGUUCGGCAUGUUGGGUCUUGAAGUAAUCCUUCAAUGCGUUAUCAGGCACUACUUUGACAUACUGCACUGUCCUGCUAACAGGCUCAGGGCUUCUCCGGUAUAUCAGCAGGAACUGUGAUGCGCAACAACUGCUCUGGAGAACGCGGAAAUCAGUAUUAAGUACAGCUAUGGCCAUAAGUUUGGACACAAGUACCAUGAAGCUUAGAAAUGCCACAAAAUUGUCACUUACAAUAUAAAUACCAGUCAUAGCCAUCAACCAAAAUGAAAUGCAUUUCAUUUUGGUUAUUGCUAUGACUGGUAUUUAUAUUGUGACAAUUUCGUGGUAUUUUCUAAGCUUCACAAGCAUCAUGGUACUUGUGUCCAAACUUAUGGCCAUAGCUGUAGACCAAACAUUUAGCCGCAGUAGCAAAGCAAGUUCCACCUGGUCGCUGUCACAGCUGCCAUAUAAUCUGCUUUACUACAACUGACAGCCAACAGCACAUCAAGAAGGCAUAUUUAGUGUAAUGUGCUUGCAAUAUCACACCUUGGCCAGGUAAACGGGCUUUGUUUUGAACCAGGUCUGCGUGUGCAGCUGCCUAAUUAAGUAUGCAUACGUCAUGUGAAAGGAGUCUAUAGUGUGGUGUCAGGGUAGUUCUAGAGAUCUCUGUUCCUGUGGCUAACCAUAUUUCUUUCUAUGGACAGAGCUGUUGGGCUGGCUGAUUCCCCUCCCGAGGUGGUGGUGGUCCCCCUCACUCUGUACAGUAGAGCACUUGGGUGUCCAUUAGUUUGCUUUUUUUUUUUUUUUGCAUGUGUGGUGUCACAUCCAGACCCUCUACCUGCCUAGUCAGUCAUUCCGGUCUGGUAAGCCCUGACAUCUGUAUAUAGAUGUUCAGUGGCUGCACCCUGGAGGUCCUAACAGAUUACCUCUACUUGGCCACUUAUUGAGCCAUCUCAUGGCACCGCCACUAAGGUUUUUAUAUUGAAACAUUGUUGUUUUAACAGACAAAAUAUAUUGUAAAUGAAUUCCAUUUUUGUGUGUAUUUGCGUCAUGUCUCUCUCGUGUCAUACGUAUGUGACCUUUCCCUGUAUUGGAGUGGUGGUGGUUCCCUCUAAUCGGAUUUCCUGGCGGUGAAAUUCCCCCAGGUGGCGUUGUCAGUCAUUUGGUAAUCAGCCAGAGUACAUUAACCCUCGUAGCAUUGCCACAUUUGAUAACUUUCUGAUUCAACUUUAAACUAAAUUUACUUCACUAACCCAGUCCUCUGGACUUCCAGUAAGCUAUGUUCCUAGUGGCUGUCAGGUGUUAUCAGGAACACCUGAUCAACUUAGUAUCUUCCUGCUUUAUGGCUGCAGUCAAACACUUCCUCUGCUUCUCUUUACUGUUUGGCUCCAAUGCUUUAGUUUGUUCUUUAGGCGUUGGCUUGCAGCUUCCAGCAGUAAAAUCAACUUUAGUGUGUUUUAGGGCUUUGUACUGGAUAGUUGUCUGGCUAAAUGUGGUUCUUUAGCCACAGAUGGUGCUAACAUGUGCAGUGAUUAGUGGAUUUGGUGCAGCUGAGUUGUCUUUUUCUUGGCUGUAGUGAGUCUUUAGAGCUUUUUGGUCAGACGUGUUCUUUGUGAACCAACGUUGGUUGUCCAGAAGGUAAGAGUUCCUGUCCUGCUUCUCCGUUUAAAGAGGUUCUUUGGUUGGCUGCAGGAGACUUUAGCGUUUGAAUUGUGCUAGUUUGGUUUUUGUACGGGUUCAUUUAGGCGACUAUCUUGAGGCCCCUCCAUGUGGUUUAGUGAGGUUUUCUGUAACAGUUCUACAAAGCAACCUGCAGCAGAAGAGACUUGGAGAGUUUCUAGGAAGUUCUGGAAACCAGACUUUGGAGCAGCAGAGACCUUUGUCAUUUGUAAGCGUCUGUAGUUCUUUGGUCUGAAAGCACAAGAAGAGUCAACUCGCAAAAGGAGAUAUUAUUCUGUCGCUCUGCCUCUUCCAGUUUCCUUACACUAAAUGUUUUUAUUUUAAAUGAUUUACCAUGUGAGCCCAAGAAGACUUCAAUAAACUCCCUCCAUCCCCUGGACACAACAAAUUUUAUUACCAUGUUAAAUCUUUUUUUGUGUGUUUUAAUCAUUUUCUUUCUUUGCUUGUGUAGUUUUGUUGUCUGUGUGAAGGUUGCUAAACAAAUAAAGUUGAAUUGAUCAACUGGCUAACUCA